UACGAAGGGGGCUAGCGUUGUUCGGAUUUACUGGGCGUAAAGUGCACGUAGGCGGAUCGUUAAGUCAGGGGUGAAAUCCUGGAGCUCAACUCCAGAACUGCCUUUGAUACUGGCGAUCUUGAGUCCGGAAGAGGUGAGUGGAACUCCUAGUGUAGAGGUGGAAUUCGUAGAUAUUAGGAAGAACACCAGUGGCGAAGGCGGCUCACUGGUCCGGUACUGACGCUGAGGUGCGAAAGCGUGGGGAGCAAACAGG
rnacentral:rRNA from 1 species